rnacentral:rRNA from 1 species
UACGUAGGAGGCGAGCGUUGUCCGGAUUUACUGGGCGUAAAGCGCGCGCAGGCGGCGCGAUAAGACCGGCGUGAAAGCCCCCGGCUCAACCGGGGAGGGUCGUUGGUGACUGUCGCGCUUGAAGGCAGCAGGGGUGAGUGGAAUUCCCGGUGUAGUGGUGAAAUGCGUAGAGAUCGGGAGGAACACCCGGUGGCGAAGGC